rnacentral:rRNA from 1 species
UACGAAGGGGGCUAGCGUUGUUCGGAAUUACUGGGCGUAAAGCGCACGUAGGCGGAUAUUUAAGUCAGGGGUGAAAUCCCAGAGCUCAACUCUGGAACUGCCUUUGAUACUGGGUAUCUUGAGUAUGGAAGAGGUAAGUGGAAUUCCGAGUGUAGAGGUGAAAUUCGUAGAUAUUCGCAAGAACACCAGUGGCGAAGGCGGCUCACUGGCCCGAUACUGACGCUGAGGAGCGAAAGCAUGGGGAGCGAACAGG